rnacentral:rRNA from 1 species
AGUGAACGCUGGCGGUAGGCCUAACACAUGCAAGUCGAACGGCAGCACAGUAAGAGCUUGCUCUUACGGGUGGCGAGUGGCGGACGGGUGAGGAAUACAUCGGAAUCUACUUUUUCGUGGGGGAUAACGUAGGGACACUUACGCUAAUACCGCAUACGACCUACGGGUGAAAGCAGGGGAUCUUCGGACCUUGCGCGAUUGAAUGAGCCGAUGUCGGAUUAGCUAGUUGGCGGGGUAAAGGCCCACCAAGGCGACGAUCCGUAGCUGGUCUGAGAGGAUGAUCAGCCACACUGGAACUGAGACACGGUCCAGACUCCUACGGUAGGCAGCAGUGGGGAAUAUUGGACAAUGGGCGCAAGCCUGAUCCAGCCAUACCGCGUGGGUGAAGAAGGCCUUCGGGUUGUAAAGCCCUUUUGUUGGGAAAGAAAAGCAGCAGGUUAAUACCCCGCUGUUCUGACGGUACCCAAAGAAUAAGCACCGGCUAACUUCGUG